rnacentral:rRNA from 1 species
GACGAACGCUGGCGGCGUGCUUAACCCAUGCAAGUCGAACGAAGUGGCGAACGGGUGAGUAAUACGUGGGUUACCUGCCCUCCUGUUUGGGAUAAUCCUAGGAUACGGGGUCUAAUACCGAAUUAAGGGGGAUGGGCUCGCGGCCUAUCAGCUUGUGGGUGGGGUGAUGGCGUACCAAGGCGGUGACGGGUAGCCGGCCUGAGAGGGUAACCGGGCACAUUGACACUGGGAUACGUCCCAGGUGCCUCAGGGGGGCAGCAGUGGGGGCUAUUGCACAAUGGGCGAAAGACUGAUGCAGCGAGUAUGCAUGGGGGUUGCAGGCUUUCGAGUUGUAAACCUCUUUCGCUAUCGAACGGGUAGGUGGAGAAGAAGCGCCGGCUAACUACGUGCCAGCAGCCGCGGUAAUUC